rnacentral:tRNA from 1 species
GGGAGCUUGGCUCAGUUGGAAGAGCGCAGGUCUCAUACUUGUAUGAUUCGGUGACAAAUCGAAAUAUCCUGAGGUCGUGAGUUCGAGCCUCACAGUUCCCA